rnacentral:rRNA from 1 species
CCUACGGGAGACUGCAGUGAGGAAUAUUGGUCAAUGGGCGCGAGCCUGAACCAGCCAAGUAGCGUGAAGGAUGACGGCCCUACGGGUUGUAAACUUCUUUUAUAAGGGAAUAAAGUGAGGCACGUGUGCCUUUUUGUAUGUAUUUUAUGAAUAAGGAUCGGCUAACUCCGUGCCAGCAGCCGCGGUAAUACGGAGGAUCCGAGCGUUAUCCGGAUUUAUUGGGUUUAAAGGGAGCGUAGAUGGGUUGUUAAGUCAGUUGUGAAAGUAUGCGGCUCAACCGUAAAAUUGCAAUUGAUACUGGCAGGCUUGAGUACAGUUGAGGUAGGCGGAAUGCGUGGUGUAGCGGUGAAAUGCUUAGAUAUCACGAAGAACUCCGAUUGCGAAGGCAGCCUACUAAACCACGACUGACGCUGAUGCUCGAAAGUGUGGGGAUCAAACAGGAUUAGAUACCCGAGUAGUC